rnacentral:sRNA from 1 species
GAGCGCCGGCCAUUUCGCCAGCGUCGCGCGACGGCCGCGGAACCGGUGGCGCGGCAUCAGUGCCCGCUU